rfam:Lupinus angustifolius cultivar Tanjil contig_53809, whole genome shotgun sequence.
AAAUCGGCCCUUUUAAGGGCCAAAAUUUCUAUCCCGAGAGGAUAACU